rnacentral:tRNA from 1 species
GAAAACACAGAGACAAAGGGCUGAUCUUUGAAUAGGAAAAAGAGUGGAUCGGCAGGGUCCCAAAUGAAUUGGCUUAUUCGA